GAGCCACCUACUGCACGCUGGAGGCUGCAGCCUGCGGUAUCGUGGCUGGCCUCGCUGCAGUGGGUGGUGGUGAUGGAAACUGCAGCGGCUGGAGCGACUUUUUAGGAACAUUUCUGGGCUAGGUGUGCUGGCCCACGGCUAUAAUCCUGACAUUUUUAGAGGCUGAGGCAGGAGGAUUAGCUUAAGGUCAGAAGUUUAAGACCAACCUGGGCAACACAGUGAGACCUCAAUUCUACAAAAAGCUUCUAAAUGUCAUAGGAUGUGGUGGUGAGCCCUUGUAUCCCUAGCUACAUGGAAGCCUGUUGUGGGAAGAUCAUCUGAACCUAGAAGAUUGAGGCUGCAGUGAGCUAUGAUCACGUCACUGCUCUCCAGCUGGGCCAGGCUGGAGUGUACUGGCGGGAUUUCGGCUCACUGCAACCUGCAACUCCCGGAUUCACGUGAUUCUCCUGCCUCAGCCUCCCAGGUAACUGGGAUUACAGGUAUGUGCCACCGUGCCUGGCUAAUUUUUUGUAU